CUACGUGCCAGCAGCCGCGGUAAUACGGAGGGUGCGAGCGUUAAUCGGAAUAACUGGGCGUAAAGGGCACGCAGGCGGCUAUUUAAGUGAGGUGUGAAAUCCCCGGGCUUAACCUGGGAAUUGCAUUUCAGACUGGGUAGCUAGAGUACUUUAGGGAGGGGUAGAAUUCCACGUGUAGCGGUGAAAUGCGUAGAGAUGUGGAGGAAUACCGAAGGCGAAGGCAGCCCCUUGGGAAUGUACUGACGCUCAUGUGCGAAAGCGUGGGGAGCAAACAGGAUUAGAUACCCUGGUAGUCCACGCUGUAAACGCUGUCGAUUUGGGGAUUGGGCUUUAAGCUUGGUGCCCGUAGCUAACGUGAUAAAUCGACCGCCUGGGGAGUACGGCCGCAAGGUUAAAACUCAAAUGAAUUGACGGGGGCCCGCACAAGCGGUGGAGCAUGUGGUCUAAUUCGAUGCAACGCGAAGAACCUUACCUACUCUUGACAUCCAGAGAACAUUC
rnacentral:rRNA from 1 species